rnacentral:rRNA from 1 species
AUAGAGUACUAGAGUUUGAUCAUGGCUCAGAGCGAACGCUGGCGGCAGGCCUAACACAUGCAAGUCGAACGCACCUUCGGGUGAGUGGCGGACGGGUGAGUAACACGUGGGAACGUACCUUUAGGUUCGGAACAACUCAGGGAAACUUGAGCUAAUACCGAAUGUGCCCUUCGGGGGAAAGAUUUAUCGCCUUUAGAGCGGCCCGCGUUAGAUUAGCUAGUUGGUGAGGUAAUGGCCCACCAAGGCUACGAUCUAUAGCUGGUCUGAGAGGAUGAUCAGCCACACUGGGACUGAGACACGGCCCAGACUCCUACGGGAGGCAGCAGUGGGGAAUCUUGCGCAAUGGGCGAAAGCCUGACGCAGCCAUGCCGCGUGAAUGAUGAAGGUCUUAGGAUUGUAAAAUUCUUUCAGCAGGGACGAUAAUGACGGUACCUGCAGAAGAAGCCCCGGCUAACUUCGUGCCAGCAGCCGCGGUA